rnacentral:rRNA from 1 species
CCUACGGGUGGCAGCAGUGGGGAAUAUUGGGCAAUGGAGGCAACUCUGACCCAGCAACGCCGCGUGAAUGAUGAAGGUCUUCGGAUUGUAAAGUUCUGUGAUGGGGGAUGAACACAAUGACGGUACCCCACUAGCAAGCCACGGCUAACUACGUGCCAGCAGCCGCGGUACUACGUAGGUGGCAAGCGUUAUCCGGAAUGACUGGGCGUAAAUGGUGCGUAGGUGGUUUAGGAAGUUGGCGGUGUAAUUCCGGGGCUCAACCUCGGCGCUACCGCCAAAACUAUUAGACUAGAGUGCAGGAGGGGUAAGUGGAAUUCCUAGUGUAGCGGUGGAAUGCGUAGAUAUUAGGAGGAACAUCAGGGGCGAAGGCGACUUACUGGACUGUAACUGACACUGAGGCACGAAAGCGUGGGGAGCAAACAGGAUUAGAUACCCUUGUAGUC